GCAAUAGCCAAUGCAUAAUUAUUAUGCAAUAUCAAAGUAGAAUAAAGUUCUGGGUAGACUAUGAUAAUGACAUUAUCUAUCUAUGUGGUCUUGACCAAACUACGUGCCAGCAGUCGCGGUAAAACGUUAAAGACUAGUGUUAUUCAUCUUUAAUCGGUUUAAAGAGUACCAAGACUGUUAAUAAAGCCUGUUAAGGGGACACAUUAACUAGAGUUAUAUGAAAGGAGGCUUUGAGGUACUGUCGAGUGUAGAGAUAAAAUGCGUUGAUACAGAUUAUGGCACAAAUCAAUGCGAAGGCAUCUUCUUAUGUAAUAACUGACGUUGUAGGACGAAGGCUUAGCGAAGAAAAAAGGAUUAGAUACCCUCGUAUUCUAGGCAGAAAAUGAUGAAUGUCAUAGGUUGAAUUCUAAAUAUAAUAUAAUUUUAUUUUAUUUUAUUUAAUUUGGUCUAUAAAUGAAAGUGUAAGCAUUCCACCUCAAGAGUAAUUUGGCAACAUUGAAACUGAAAUCAUUAGACCGUUUACUGAAACCAGUAGUGAAGUAUGUUGUUUAAUUAGAUGAUUCGCAAAAAACCUUACCACAUUUUGAAUAUUAAUUAUAUUUUUCAAGCGUUGCACGGCUGUCUUCUUAAUGUUGUGAGAAUUGGUUAAUUCCAGAAAUUAACGCAGCCCCUACUUUAUUUAAGAUAAGUUUUCGCCU
rnacentral:rRNA from 1 species